rnacentral:rRNA from 1 species
GAUGAACGCUGGCGGCGUGCUUAACACAUGCAAGUCGAGCGAAGCACUUUUGCGGAUUUCUUCGGAUUGAAGCAACUGUGACUGAGCGGCGGACGGGUGAGUAACGCGUGGGUAACCUGCCUCAUACAGGGGGAUAACAGUUGGAAACGGCUGCUAAUACCGCAUAAGCGCACAGUACCGCAUGGUACCGUGUGAAAAACUCCGGUGGUAUGAGAUGGACCCGCGUCUGAUUAGCUAGUUGGUGGGGUAACGGCCUACCAAGGCGACGAUCAGUAGCCGACCUGAGAGGGUGACCGGCCACAUUGGGACUGAGACACGGCCCAAACUCCUACGGGAGGCAGCAGUGGGGAAUAUUGCACAAUGGGGGAAACCCUGAUGCAGCGACGCCGCGUGAGCGAUGAAGUAUUUCGGUAUGUAAAGCUCUAUCAGCAGGGAAGAAAAUGACGGUACCUGACUAAGAAGCCCCGG